UUGGAGGCGACACUUGGCCACCUGACAAGUGUAAUGAGAUCUUUCCAUCCUUGCAGCCUUUUUCCAGGAACCUUGAAACACAGAAUGGAUGUAGUGACUGGAUACAGAGAAAUGUAGUGACUAGGGAGAACCAUCUAGCCUUUUAAUGAAAAUUUCAAGCAAGCUUACAAAGAAAUUGAGACUUCUCUUACAAUGACAAAACUUCAUCAUAAAGAACCCACAUGUGAUCUGGAACAGGCCUGAUGUGUGUUAUAUCAUGGGAGUUUGUAAAAACUACAUCUACUCAAAGAAAAUCCAGUCAGUGUGUUUGAGGAGCUGUCAC